CCCUCAGCAUAUCCAAAACCCUCCUCUUUGGCCUCCCUCUCCUCCAGCCUGGUGGCUCCAUCCUCAGCAUCCUUCUUCCUAUAUGCCCUGGGUCCCUCCUCUGCACAUGUCCAAACCAUUUCAAUCUCACCUCGCUGACUUUGUCUUCAAAUCGUCCCACAUGAUGAGGAUA